UACGGGGGGGGCAAGCGUUGUUCGGAAUUACUGGGCGUAAAGGGCUCGUAGGUGGCCAACUAAGUCACACGUGAAAUCCCUCGGCUUAACCGGGGAACUGCGUCUGAUACUGGAUGGCUUGAGUUUGGGAGAGGGACGCGGAAUUCCAGGUGUAGCGGUGAAAUGCGUAGAUAUCUGGAGGAACACCGGUGGCGAAGGCGGCGUCCUGGACCAAUACUGACACUGAGUGAGCGAAAGCCAGGGGAGCAAACGGG
rnacentral:rRNA from 1 species